rnacentral:rRNA from 1 species
UACGUAGGGAGCAAGCGUUAUCCGGAUUUAUUGGGUGUAAAGGGUGCGUAGACGGGAAAUUAAGUUAGUUGUGAAAUCCCUCGGCUCAACUGAGGAACUGCAACUAAAACUGAUAUUCUUGAGUGCUGGAGAGGAAAGUGGAAUUCCUAGUGUAGCGGUGAAAUGCGUAGAUAUUAGGAGGAACACCAGUGGCGAAGGCGACUUUCUGGACAGUAACUGACGUUGAGGCACGAAAGUGUGGGGAGCAAACAGG